GCAGUUGUAGCUCAGCUGGUUAGAGCGCUGGUUUGUGGCACCAGAGGUCGGUGGUUCGAACCCACCCAACUGUACCA
rnacentral:tRNA from 3 species